AUUUUUUGUAUUUUUAGUAGAGACGGGGUUUCACCGUGGUCUUGAUCUCCUGACCUCGUGAUCCGCCCACCUCGGCCUCCCAAAGUGCUGGGAUUACAAGCGUGAGCCACCGCGCCCGGCCAUUUUAACCACUUUAAAGCAUCCAAUUCAGUGGCUUUAAGGACACUCACAAUGUUGUGCCAUCAUCGCUACUAUCUAAUUUCACCACUCCAACGAGAACUCCCGUCCUCAAGAACAGUCACUCCCCAUUCUCCACCCCAUUCCCCCAGGCCCUGGCAGCCACUCUUCCACUUUCUGUCUCUAUGGAUUGGCCUGUGCUGGACAUUUCAUUGAAAUGGACUCAUAUGCUAUGUGGCCUCUGCGGUCUGGCUUUCACUCAGCGUCACAUCUCCAAGGAUCAUCCCUGCUGCCGCAUGUGCGGGUCACCACUUCAUUCCUUUUAUGGCUGAACAGCACUCCAUUGCAUGGAGAGAGCACAUUUUGCUUAUCAGUGCAUCAGUUGAUAGACAUUUGGGAUCCUUCCAAAAUGGGGUGAUUUCACGCCUCCCUUAUCAGUUGACCAUGAUGACUGAAAGUGAAAGCUACAAAACCCACCUAGCCCAUCAGGGUGGAACCUCCAACCUAAAGCUCCUGACACAGGGCGGGGCUGCCAGGUGGCCACAGCGCACAGGAAACGAGACUGGUGCAAGAGAUGGCAGUUCCUCACUUGUAAGGUGCAAAGUGCGCAGCCACAGGCGGCUGGUGCAGACUUGGAGUGUGGGGGAGCAGCGCUUUAGCUCGAGAGCAUUUCUCAGCAGUCCCCGUGGUGUCUGGGAAGCCAGGGCUCUGUUUUGAGGAGUGUCGUCAGAGCAUCAACACCAAAGUGCUUAAUUAAAUGGCAGCCUUGACCUGAGGGGGAGGAGGGGCUGAACAUCCGCCUCCGACUGCAUUUCACAAGCAAAAGAACACGGUGAGUGUGUUUCCAUGGUAACCGCUCUCGGGUUCCCAUUUCCACAUUGGUCAGCCCGGACUUGGAUCCAAACUACCCAUCCCUGGCCCAAGCCUCCAUGGAGCAAAUGACUGCAUGAAGCAGCUUCCUGCAGAGUCCGUGGUUCCUGAGCACGCCCAUCAAAGACCACCAGGACAGUCCCUCCAGUGCUCCCUCCCCAAAAUCCCACACCCCAAGAGAGGGAACAGCCAUCAUUAGCAAGAGAGCUACUGACUAUCAGCCCUGGGUACCAGGAGGCCUUUCUGCCUGUGCUGCCUCUAGCUCCUCUGCUUGCCCAUAAGCCACGAGGAUUCAGAUGCAUAUCAUAGCAUCACACUGAGCCCCAUCUCAGGGCUGCCGUCACUGAGGAUACAGCAAGGUCAGGAGCCCCAUCCUGAGGACGGUGGUUUCCUUCUGGUCGGUGUCAUGCACUCAGAGCCCAGGCCAAUUGCACGCUGGAUGUCCCUGAUUUGAAGACUAUGGAUGCCCUCCCCUUCCCACCCAGAGAGAGUCUUGUUCAUGAAAAGACACAGCUGUUAUGUUUAACGUUAAUAAAACUUCACUCUCAAAAGAGCCGGACCCUUCCUUCCACUGGUCUAUGAAGCCUCAUCAGAAGCCAAUGAUGGAGCUUUGGCUCCUGCAAAGGACCCGUGGGGACCUAGAAGCCCCAGGCAGGGCCCUGAAGGUAGGUAAAGGGAGCCUCAGUCCAAUGCCCAGGUCAUCUCUUCAAGGUUCUCUGCCUUCAUUUACUAAGUAAGUUCAUCUGUGUCAACAAAUCAGCAUCCUAACGUUCUCAGGAUACCGCCUGGCGCAGAGCUGUGAACUCAGCAGCCGGCCCUGGUGGCUGUUACAUGCUCUUUUCUCUGGCCUUUCCCUCUCCUGGCUCUCCUCUGACCUUUCCCCUGGGUCCUGGAGGUGCCUUUACGCCUCUCCCACCUCCUCCCCAUCUGUGCCUCCUCCUCCCCUUCUCCCCCCCAAC
rnacentral:lncRNA from 1 species